rnacentral:rRNA from 1 species
UUGUAAGGGCGUAUGGGGGAUGCCUAGGCUCUUGGAGGCGAAGAAGGACGUGCCAAACUGCGAAAAGCUGUGGGGAGUUGUAAGAAGCGAAGAUCCACAGAUGUCCGAAUGGGGAAACCCGGCAGGUUGAAGACCUGUCAUCUCCUUGUUAGGAGAGGCGAACGCAGGGAACUGAAACAUCUAAGUACCUGUAGGAGAAGAAAACAAAAGUGAUUCCGUGAGUAGUGGCGAGCGAAAGCGGAGGAGCCCAAACCGAAGUUGUUUCGGCAGCUUCGGGGUAGUAGGACAGCCACAAGGCGAAGCUAGCGAAUUGAAGUGAGUUGGGAAACUCUACCGGAGAGGGUGAAAGUCCCGUAAAUGGAGCGAAGCUGAGCUGGGCUGCAUCCUGAGUAGGGCGGGGUUGGAGACGCCCCGUUUGAAACAGCCAGCACCAUCUGGUAAGGCUAAAUACUCCCAAGAGACCGAUAGUGAAGAAGUACCGUGAGGGAAAGGUGAAAAGUACCCCGAACAGGGGGGUGAAAAGAACCUGAAACCAUACGCUUACAAGCGGUCGGAGGGGCAAUUGCCCUGACGGCGUGCCUUUUGCAUAAUGAGCCUACGAGUUACCUUUCUUGGCAAGGUUAAGUACUUGAAGUACGAAGCCGAAGCGAAAGCGAGUCUGAAUAGGGCGUGAAGUCAGGGGAGGUAGACGCGAAACCUAGUGAUCUACCCUUGGUCAGGAUGAAGGUCUGGUAAAGCAGGCUGGAGGUCCGAACUAGUAGACGUUGAAAAGUCUUUGGAUGAACUGAGGGUAGGGGUGAAAGGCUAAUCAAACUGGGAAAUAGCUCGUACUCUCCGAAAUGCCUUUAGGGGCAGCGUCAAAUUAGUCUUGCUGAGGUAGAGCUACCAAUAGGACUAGGGGGCUUCACCGCCUACCAAAUCCUGAUGAACUCCGAAUGCGGCAAGAUGAUGUUUGGCAGUGAGGGCUUGGGUGCUAAGGUCCGAGUCCGAGAGGGAAAGAACCCAGAGCAUCGGCUAAGGUCUCAAAGUGUGAGUUAAGUUGAACAAAGGCGGUCUGACUGCCUUGACAGCCAGGAGGUUAGCUUGGAAGCAGCUAUUCCUUUAAAGAGUGCGUAACAGCUCACUGGUCGAGCGGUUGGGCAUCUAUAAUAAACGGGCAUCAAACUCACCACCGAAGCUGUGCCAUAGAGAUAUGGGUAGGAGAGCAUUCUGCUGGCGGCGAAGGCGAGCUGUGAGGCUUGUUGGAGUUAGUAGAAAAGCAAAUGUAGGCAUAAGUAACGAUAAUCAGAGUGAAAAACUUUGACACCGAAAGACUAAGGUUUCCUGUGGCAACGUUCAUCGUCCCAGGGUUAGUCGGGAGCUAAGGGGAAGCCGAAAGGCGUACCUGAUGCACAGCAGGUUAAUAUUCCUGCACUUGCAGUAGUGCGAAGCGAUGACGGAGUGGUGUAGUCCUUACGUACUGACGGAAAAGUGCGUAGAGUGGAGCCUUCGGGUGAAGCGAAAGGGUGUAACUGCUUCCAAGAAAAGUCGUGUAGCUACAGCUGCUGCAACCCGUACCGCAAACCGACACAGGUAGUUGAGGCGAGAAGCCUAAGGUGCUCGAGAUACACACGGCUAAGGAACUCGGCAAAUUAACCCUGUAACUUCGGGAGAAGGGGAGCCAGCGAGAGCUGGUCGCAGAGAAUAGGUCCAGGCGACUGUUUAACAAAAACACAGGGCUUUGCGAAAACGAAAGUUUAAGUAUAAGGCCUGACACCUGCCCGGUGCUGGAAGGUUAAGGGGGGGGGUUAGCUGCGAGGCGAAGCUCUGAACCGAAGCCCCAGUAAACGGCGGCCGUAACUAUAACGGUCCUAAGGUAGCGAAAUUCCUUGUCGGGUAAGUUCCGACCUGCACGAAUGGUGUAACGAUCUGGACGCUGUCUCAGCCGUGUACUCGGUGAAAUUGUAGUCUCGGUGAAGAUGCCGAGUACCCGCAACGGGACGAAAAGACCCCGUGCACCUUUACUACAACUUAGUAUUGCCUUUGGGUGCAGAAUGUGUAGGAUAGGUGGGAGACUGUGAAGCGGAGUCGCUAGGCUUCGUGGAGUCGCCGUUGAAAUACCACCCUUUUUGCACUUGAAGGCUAACCUUAUAGGGACAGUGCUAGGCGGGUAGUUUGACUGGGGUGGUCGCCUCCAAAAAGGUAUCGGAGGCUUCCUAAGGUUGGCUCAGUACGGUCGGUAAUCGUACGUAGCGUGCAAUGGCAGAAGCCAGCUUGACUGUGAGGCAAACAAGCCGAGCAGGUAGGAAACUAGGGCAUAGUGAUCCGGUGGUUCUGCGUGGAAGGGCCAUCGCUCAAAGGAUAAAAGGUACGCCGGGGAUAACAGGCUGAUCUCCCCCAAGAGCUCACAUCGACGGGGAGGUUUGGCACCUCGAUGUCGGCUCGUCACAUCCUGGGGCUGGAGAAGGUCCCAAGGGUUGGGCUGUUCGCCCAUUAAAGUGGCACGCGAGCUGGGUUCAGAACGUCGUGAGACAGUUCGGUCUCUAUCUGUUGCGGGCGUAGAAUAUUGAGGGGGGCUGACCUUAGUACGAGAGGACCGGGUCGGACGAACCGCUGGUGAAUCUGUUGUAGUGCCAACUGCACGGCAGAGUAGCUAAGUUCGGAAGAGAUAAACGCUGAAAGCAUCUAAGUGUGAAACUCGCCCCGAGAUGAGUAUUCGUUAGAGGGUCGUGGGAGAAGACCACGUAGAUAGGUAGCAGGUGUAAGCGUAGUAAUACGUUGAGCCGAGCUAUACUAAUCACCCGAGCGUU